GUAUGAGGCGAACAAUGUUUAAGUAGCGUUUCUUUUUUCUCUUACCUUCUUCUAUUUAAAUUAUAAUUUUGACAAAGUCAAAGUUGCUUUUCAAAUAUACUCCUAUAUUAUAAAUACAAGGAAUGCGUUGAACUUACACUUGGGUUUCACACUUGAGUUUAUUUUAAUUGUUGCUGCAACACAAAACACUUGUUACACUUACCCAAACAAUCACCAAACUUUGGAGCCAAGAUGAUGCAUUUGGGAAGGCACCGCAACACCAUGUACCAAGUGGAUGUGGAAUCGGAAACGGAAUCGAAGUCGGAGUCCGAAAUUGAAGAUGUGGCGGAGGAAUCUAGCAUUCUUCCCUUGGCGGUUAAAUUAUCCAGAACCACGGUGCAUUUGAUCGACUACAAGCUGUUUAUUGCCGCUCGUCGCAUCCAGUCCCACUGGCGUGGCCACCGCGUCCGAAAGCUGCUCCUUCAGCGCUGGCGGGCUGCGAUUACCAUUCAGCGCUGGUGGCGCGGCUUCCGGACUCGGCGCCACCUGUGGCAACACAUUGAUCGGCGGCUGCAGGACACGCUCAUCGGGCACUACCGCCAGGCGGCCAUCCGCAUCCAGGCUCUGUUCCGCGGCUGGUGGGGCAGGCGGUGCAUCCACGACGUGCGAAACCUGCACCGCAUGCAGACCGCCGCCGCCGAGGACCUGCUCAGCUGCCUGAUCCUCCACCUGCAUCAGAUGAAGCGGAACGGGUCACUGCCGGGAAGCCUCUCGCUGCGGAGCACAAACUGCCUUUCGAAAGUCGAGAAGCUGAUGACAACUAUGUUGUUCCGAUUCCACAACAAUCGGGUGCUAUCGAUGGUAGCCACCAGAAUAUCCCUCAAGGAGAGCCAGCGCAGGUACUUUGAAUCCGGCAGGCUGGCCACCGAGUUACCCUAUGCUGGUCCCAACUUCAACGAACUAUGUCCUUUCACCGACGAAGAAAGAGUGGUGGUCAAGGAUAUACCUAAUGAUCACCGCUACGCCAAAGUUAUCGCCGAGUACGAGGAAUCUCAGCUGGAUGAAAACUUGAGGCAAACCCAUAGGCGUUCUGAAAAUCGCAAACGGCAAGAGCAGAUGGACAAGAUAAUCACUCAGGAAAAGCUUGCGAAACGUAAAUUCUGUGCGGAUGUCAUCGAACGCAUGCAAAGAUGGGCAGUUUGGAGUGGCGCCAAUGUAAAUAUAACGCCAAACAUUUUCCACAACCGGGAAAAUAUGCAAGGAUUCUUGAAAAGAGUGGGCCAUCUGCUGGUUGACGACAAACGUUGAAUUCUUUGGUGAUCUGGGAAGGUCAAACGAAGGAUACGAAGGAUGAGAUAAAUUCAAAUUGACAGAAUACAUUUAUACACCUCACACAGGCAUUUAAUUUAUUUUACUCUCGGCCGGGCCAAGAAAGCCGGCGGACGGGAGCAAUUUGUGAGCGGCGUGGUAAAUCUUGGCAUGCUUACCUAUAAAUAUUUGACAUGGCUACAAUAGCCGUCCCUCGGCCGGGAGACAUGGCAGCCACACAUGACCCAGCCAUCGCAGCCAUCGUAGCCCAGAACUUGGCCUGUUCGGAGCCCUGAGCCUGUGGCAUACGUGCAGGAGCAUUAUCCGCAUACUUGGAGCGGGUCCUCAUACGUGACUGGCGUCUGCUGAGCCUGCAACGGGGUGUUCGCGGCGGUGGCAAAUUAGAUUUGCCUAUAAUUAAUAUGCACGAUAUGUGGCGUUAACUUGUGUGAAAAUUACUCGGCUCCCUGACGUGACGGAGCGCGGUUCGUGUGGAACGCGAGCUCAAAAACCAUGGACUCCAAUUACAAUCUAUCUAUUCGGCACUGGCGGCCCUUUGCUAUUCGAUUGCGAUUCUCGCCCGUACACACCUUGAACCCAGGUCAUCGAUACGAAAAGGCACAAGGCCCACACCCAAAGAUGAAUUUUAUUCAAAAUGAGCUGCAUAUCGUGAUCACGAUUCAACGGAA